rnacentral:rRNA from 1 species
CCCCCCCACUUUCUGAGUUUGACCUCGAAUCAGGUAGGAUUACCCGCUGAACUUAAGCAUAUCAAUAAGCGGAGGAAAAGAAACCAACAGGGAUUGCCCUAGUAACGGCGAGUGAAGCGGCAACAGCUCAAUUUGAAAUCUGGCCCUCGGGUCCGAGUUGUAAUUUGUAGAGGAUGCUUUUGGUGCGGUACCUUCCGAGUUCCCUGGAACGGGACGCCAUAGAGGGUGAGAGCCCCGUCUGGUUGGAUACCAAUCCUCUGUAAAGCUCCUUCAACGAGUCGAGUAGUUUGGGAAUGCUGCUCUAAAUGGGAGGUAUAUGUCUUCUAAAGCUAAAUAUUGGCCAGAGACCGAUAGCGCACAAGUAGAGUGAUCGAAAGAUGAAAAGCACUUUGAAAAGAGAGUUAAAAAGUACGUGAAAUUGUUGAAAGGGAAGCGCUUAUGACCAGACUUGGACUUGGUUGAUCAUCCUGGGUUCUCCCUGGUGCACUCUUCCAGUUCAGGCCAGCAUCAGUUCAUCGCGGGGGAUAAAGGCUUCGGGAAUGUGGCUCCCUCGGGAGUGUUAUAACCCGUUGUGUAAUACCCUGCUUUGGACUGAGGUUCGCGCAUCUGCAAGGAUGCUGGCGUAAUGGUCAUCAGCGACCCGUCUUGAAACACGGACCAAGGAGUCGUCUUCGUAUGCGAGUGUUCGGGUGUUAAACCCCUACGCGUAAUGAAAGUGAACGCAGGUGAGAGCUUCGGCGCAUCAUCGACCGAUCCUGAUGUUCUCGGAUGGAUUUGAGUAAGAGCAUACGGGGCCGGACCCGAAAGAAGGUGAACUAUGCCUGUAUAGGGUGAAGCCAGAGGAAACUCUGGUGGAGGCUCGCAGCGNAUCGNNANNNNNGNNANGNGGNNAANNNNANNNANNUNNANNNNCNNNUCCGAAGUUCCCUCAGA